GAUGAACGCUAGCGGCAGGCCUAAUACAUGCAAGUCGAGGGGUAGAAGAGGCUUGCUUCUUUGAGACCGGCGCACGGGUGCGUAACGCGUAUGCAACCUACCUUCAUCUGGGGGAUAGCCCGGAGAAAUCCGGAUUAAUACCGCAUAAAAUCACAGGAUGGCAUUAUCCAAUGAUCCAACAUUUAUGGGAUGGAGAUGGGCAUGCGUGUCAUUAGCUAGUUGGCGGGGUAACGGCCCACCAAGGCGACGAUGACUAGGGGAUCUGAGAGGAUGGCCCCCCACACUGUACUGAGACACGGACCAGACUCCUACGGGAGGCAACAGUAAGGAAUAUUGGUCAAUGGAGGCAACUCUGAACCAGCCAUGCCGCGUGCAGGAAGACUGCCCUAUGGGUUGUAAACUGCUUUUAUUCGGGAAUAAACCUUAUUACGUGUAAUAAGCUGAAUGUACCGAAGGAAUAAGGAUCGGCUAACUCCGUGCCAGCAGCCGCAGUAA
rnacentral:rRNA from 1 species